CUGCCUCCCGCGCUCCCUCUCCCGCCCCCCUGCUGGUGAUCCCUCUCUUGCUCGCUCUGUCAAAUAAGAGUCUCCUGUUGCUGCGGGUUCUCAUCUCUUCUUCCCUUUUGGUGAUGCGUGACAGCUGCUUUUCUAUUUAUUCACUUUUCUCUCUGUUUUUAUCCUUUUGGUGAUCGCCACUGAAAUUUUACUUUGUAUUAUAUUCCUAACUUAGUAAAUGUAAAGUUAAUAUUCCAGUUCCUUUGCGAACAAUACUUAGAUCUUAAAGUACCGUACCCACCUCUGCUCUUCUCUGGACUUCCGUGCGGAAAUUGUGCAGAAUUUUAGUUCUGCAUCUUAGGUCCCCAAAUUACGUCCUCUUGUGACUCUGUAGACAAUGUUUGUUUUCAUGUGAUGUAUAUUGACCACUUUAUCUGGUCAGCAUUUUCCUCACAUUUCAUGUCUUCCUUUUUUUGAGUGAUAAAUAGCUUGCUAGAAAAAAGAAAGAUUCAAAUGGAGAAGAAACGUCCUGUUGAGGUGAGGGAUCUCGCACACACGUCUGGCGCACUCCAGCGGGUCGCCCCCACGUGCCCCGUGACUUCUCCGCGCCGUGCGUGUGCGCACCUCCCCGUCUGCUUACGGGAUUGGUGCCGGCCUUCUCGGGUUCUGCUGGAGGGAAACCCUCGGCUUCUGUUCACCCGAGAGUGCUUUAUUUGGCGCUUACCGUGGGCAGCCGGCGCCGGUGCUGUGCAGCCAGAGGAGGACGUGCUCUUUCCUGAGGAGACAUUUCCCGUUGGAUUCUCGUUUCUGUGUUCUGUUGCGGAAAGUCCGUCGGUCUGACUGGGGCUGACCCGUCUCCUCUCUGUCUUUGGUGUUCUGCAGUUCCGUCUCAGUCCAGGCGACACUGCGUUGUCUUCCGUGCGCGUGAGUUCCGGGGCGUCGUUCGCUCGCGGCGCUCACUGCGUUUUCCCUCUCGCCCUCUCCCCGCUGCGGGGCCUCCCGUUCGCGGACCACCCUGCGGCCGUGUGCAGUCUGCCGUCCAACGCGUCUUUCAAGGCUUCAAAAAUCCUAGUUCUAUUUGGAUACUUUUCAAAUUUGCCUGUUCGUUGAUAGCCUGUUUUUACUUGCUCCUUUAUUCUUUUCUCCUUAACAGUUCACAGCUCAUUUUUAAGAUUUGGCAUCCGACAUGUAAGCCCUCGGGGUCACUGUGGGCUCCGUCUGUGUGGCCGUCGCUGUUGCGGACUCUUGCUCUCACAGAAUGUCAGAUCAAAGAAUCCUGGGGAAAGCGUGUUGAACAGGAGCCAUGGAUGUGGUUCGAGACACAGGGACAGCUUCAGUCUCCGUCGUGCAGACCGCCGCUCCCCGCCUCCUGCUGCCGCGGCUUCCUGCGCGUCCUUCCUGCCCUCGGGGGGCACAGCGAAGUGGGGGUUUGUAUCGUCACCACGAAUGCCAGAACUCUCCGUCCCGAGAAAGGAGCGGUGUGGGGGUGGGGAGGCGGGGGGGCCUCACCUCACUGGCUUCCCCGUGUACCGUCGGGGACGGCGCUCCCCCAGCGGGCUCUCCCGAGUGCCCAACAGUAACGUCAGUAAAUGCUUUAGGUAACGGAGCGCACAAGCGGCACAGGCGGCCCGCAGCGUGGGGCCUCGACACCCGAGGUCGGGGCGGCGCCGGAUGGCAGGAGGGCUGCGUCCCGGUCCCUCGACCACCGUGAGGACGGGAACGUGCGUCUUCUCUCCUGCGGUUUGGGAGUCUCCCACCUGCUCGUCCACGGGGUCGUUCCAGCGCCAGAGCCCUUCUCCCAGGCCUCUGAAGCAAGAGGCCUGUGAUGGACGCCCUGCGGUGGGGUCGUGCGGGGGAACUUCCUCCCGCUGCUAAUGCAAUCAGGAAGCCGGCCCUUGAUAGAAUUAGAGGCCCAGGGUGCGGGCCUGGGGGGACUAGCCUCUCCCCCUGCGUGCACUGGGAAGGAGGGGCAGGUAGCAGUUGGUGGGAUUUAGCCAGUCAUUGUGAAACCUGGAAAUCAGGUUUUGGAAAAUAAAUUGGAAUAGAUGA